rnacentral:rRNA from 1 species
UUUUGAGGAACAACCCCCCUGGAAGGAAAAAGGUUUUCGCUUAAAAAACUUCUUUUUUAAAGAAGAACGGGGGUAAGAGUAACUGUUUCCCCAGGGACGGUAUUAACCAGAAAGCCAGGGCUAACUACGUGCCAGCAGCCGCGGUAAUACGUAGGUGGCCAGCGUUAUCCGGAUUUAUUGGGCGUAAAGCGAGCGCAGGCGGUCUUUUAAGUCUAAUGUGAAAGCCUUCGGCUCAACCGAAGAAGUGCAUUGGAAACUGGGAGACUUGAGUGCAGAAGAGGACAGUGGAACUCCAUGUGUAGCGGUGAAAUGCGUAGAUAUAUGGAAGAACACCAGUGGCGAAGGCGGCUGUCUGGUCUGCAACUGACGCUGAGGCUCGAAAGCAUGGGUAGCGAACAGGAUUAGAUACCCUGGUAGUCCAUGCCGUAAACGAUGAUUACUAAGUGUUGGAGGGUUUCCGCCCUUCAGUGCUGCAGCUAACGCAUUAAGUAAUCCGCCUGGGGAGUACGACCGCAAGGUUGAAACUCAAAAGAAUUGACGGGGGCCCGCACAAGCGGUGGAGCAUGUGGUUUAAUUCGAAGCUACGCGAAGAACCUUACCAGGUCUUGACAUCUUUUGACAGUUUAAGAGAUUAGAGGUUCCCUUCGGGGACAGAAUGACAGGUGGUGCAUGGUUGUCGUCAGCUCGUGUCGUGAGAUGUUGGGUUAAGUCCCGCAACGAGCGCAACCCUUAUUACUAGUUGCCAGCAUUAAGUUGGGCACUCUAGUGAGACUGCCGGUGACAAACCGGAGGAAGGUGGGGACGACGUCAAAUCAUCAUGCCCCUUAUGACCUGGGCUACACACGUGCUACAAUGGAUGGUACAACGAGUCGCGAGACCGCGAGGUUAAGCUAAUCUCUUAAAACCAUUCUCAGUUCGGACUGUAGGCUGCAACUCGCCUACACGAAGUCGGAAUCGCUAGUAAUCGCGGAUCAGCAUGCCGCGGUGAAUACGUUCCCGGGCCUUGUACACACCGCCCGUCACACCAUGAGAGUUUGUAACACCCAAAGCCGGUGGGGUAACCUCUUAGGAGCUAGCCGUCUAAGUGGACAGAGUUGGGA